rnacentral:rRNA from 1 species
GACGUAGGGCGCGAGCGUUGUCCGGAUUUAUUGGGCGUAAAGGGCUUGUAGGCGGUUUGUCGCGUCGGGUGUGAAAACACACAGCUUAACUGUGUGCUUGCUUCCGAUACGGGCAGACUAGAGGUAUGCAGGGGAGAACGGAAUUCCUGGUGUAGCGGUGAAAUGCGCAGAUAUCAGGAGGAACACCGGUGGCGAAGGCGGAUCUCUGGGCCAUUACUGACGCUGAGGAGCGAAAGCGUGGGGAGCGAACAGG